AGUUCUCAACUUGCUCCUUGGCUGUUCUCCUGACACUUAAGUCAGAGCAUUCUGUAGCUGUAUUUUACAGAACUGUAAUUGCACAGAUUGUUCCUCUUACAAGAGAAAUAUCCAGAGCUCUAAGAAAACAACUGAUGAAAACGACAUGCGUGACAUUUGGUGCUGAAGACCCAGGUCAGAGAGACUCCUUUGGGGGACCAGUCCGCUGUCCUUGCCCUCACUCUGUGAGGAGACCCACCUACGACCUCGGGUCCUCAGACCAACCAGCUCAAGGAACAUCUCACCAAUUUCAAAUCGGGACCCCACUGGAAAAUGGACUGUCCAACUCACCCGGCAGCCACUCCCAGAGCCCCUGGAACUCUGGCCCAAGGCUCUCUGACUGACUCCUUCCCAGAUCUUCUCGGCUCAGCAGCUGAAGACUGACACUGCUUGAUUGCCUGGGAAGCCUAUAGGACCAUCACAGACACUUUGGAUAACUCUUACAGUGAAGGUGUCUGGAGUUUCCCCUAUGGACGCUCUCUCCUGCCACCAUGUAAGUCUUGCCUCUCUUUUCGUUUGCCUUCCACCAUGAUUGUAAGUUUCCUGAGGCCUCCCCAGCUAUGUGGAACUGUGAGUCAAUUGAACCUCUUUUGUUUAUAAAUGAUCCAGUCUUAGGUAGUAUCUUUAUCACAGUGUGAAAGUGGACUGAUACAGAUGUCAUGCCACUUUGAGUUCCCUUCUUACUUCAUUGGCUGCUUCCUCUCAAACUCUUUUGGUCUGCAUCUUCCUGCCAUCUGAAUAUUGGAGCUCCCAGAGCUCCAGCCUUGGCCACUCUCCCUUUCUGGCUAUACUCACUUCCUAGGGGUCUCAUACAAGCCCAUGGCUUUAAAUGCUAUUUAUAUACUAAUGACUUAGCCCUCCCAUGAGUUGUAUAGUCAGUCACUCUGCAACAUGGCAUUGCCAAUAUAUCUACAAAUGAGCUCAAUAUUCCUUGCCCCACCACCUCAACCCAUUCAUUCUCCAGCCCUAUGCAGCUCUGUCAGUGGCAAUGCCAGCCUUUUAGUGGCUCAGGACAAAUCUCUGAAGUCAUCUUGGAUUCCUCUACUUCUCUCACAUCCUACAUGCAUUCCUUUAAGUCCUUUUGGCUCCAUCGAAAAAAAUGUGUCUGGAGCCUGACCACUUGUCCCCACCUCCACAACACCUCCACACCCAAGCCACCAGUGUCUCUGUCCUAGAUUAUUUCAGUAGCCUCCGAAUGAGCCUGUCAGUCUUCACUCUUACCCCCACAGGCUAUUUUUCACACAGCAGCUGAAAUAAUCCUUAUAAAGUAUAAACCAGAUCAUAUUACUUUUCUGCUUGGAGCCCUCCAGUGACACAUCAUCUCAGAAUCAAUCCAACUGCUUGGCUAUGGCUGACAAUGGGCAUCACUUCCUUUCACUCUCUGAGACCUCUGGCACCUUGCAUUGUCUGGAUGGGCUUGGUACUUGUAUUACCAGAAAGAGGUCCUGAUCUAGACCCCAAGAGAGGGCUGUUGGAUCUCAUGCAAGAAAGAAUUCAGGGCAAGUCCAUAAAGUGAAAGCAAGUUUAUUAAGAAAGUAAAGAAAUAAAAGAAUGGCUAUUCCAUAGGCAGAGCAGUGGCCUGGACUGCUCAACUGAGCAUACUUAUAGUUAUUUCUUGAUUAUAUGCUACACAAGGGGUGGAUUAAUCAUGAAUUUUCUGGGAAAGGGGUGGGCAAUUCCUGGAACUGAGGGUUCCUCUCCCUUUUAGACCAUAGGGUUAACUUCUUGACGUUGCCAUGGCAUUUGUAAACUGUCGUGGUGCUGGUGAGAAUAUCUUUCAGCAUGCUAAUGCCUUAUAAUUAGAGUAUAGUAAGCAGUGAGGAUGACCAGAAGUCACUUUCAUCACCAUCUUGGUUAUGGUGGGUUUUAGCCAGCUUCUUUACCACAUCCUGUUUUAUCAGCAAGGUCUUUAUGACUUGCACCUUGUGGCCAACCUCCUAUCUCAUCCCAUAACUAAGAAAGCCUGACCUCCUGAGAAUGCAGCCCAGUAGGUCUCAGCCUUAUUUUACCCAGCCACUUUUCAAGAUGGAGUCUGUUUGGUUUAAAUGCCUCUGACGCUUGUCGUUCCCUGUGCUGGAAUGUUCUUACUCAGAUACCCACGCAGCUGCCUUCAAGUCUCUGUUUAAAUCGUAUUUCAUGAGAAAAGCCUUUCACUUCCUUUUAGACAAAAAAGCGCCACUGCAGGGAGGAAUGCCAGGGUCCCAUAGAGGGAGACCGACAGUGAAGUGGAGCCUGCCAUGAAUUCACCAAAGGCCAUUCUCCCUUUCUUCCAGAAGAACAGCAUUUAGCUGGGCCUAUGGCUACCUACCUAAAGACUGCACCUCUUAGUCACCCUUGUGGCCAGGUGUGGCCACGUGACAGUGGAAUGUAAGUGGAAGUGAUGUAUGCACUUGGGUUCAUUGGUUUAAAAAAAAAUAUGACCGCCCUCCAUUUCCACUCUUUGUCUUAUCUGUGAAUGGGAACAUGGCUGUGUCUGCAGCCCGACUUUGUGCAGCAAAGGACAAGGCCCUAGGGGAAGGUGGAGAAACAAGAUGGAACAACUUGGACCCAACAACUUGGAUCCCUAUGUGGCCAUGUGGAGUCAUCUCACCCACCUGGGCCACUCACCCCGAAGACUGUUGUGUGAGGGUGAAAUAAACUUCUGUAUCACUAGCCCCUGCAUUUCAGAAAUUCUUUGUUAUGGCAGUUUUGCCUUUAUCCUAACACAGACAGCAAAGUAUCUUCUGUGGCCCCAUGACUAAUUUCGUUGUUUAAACUCAUUAUAAAAACUAUAUAAAUAAAAUAUUAAAAAUCAAAUAAAAUAGCAAGAUAACACUGUGUAACUAUCCAGUUUUAGAUGUUAUUACCUUUUUGGCAUAUUUACCUCAUCUAUUUUCUCCAGGGGUUUUUAAAGAAGAGUCAUGCUUGUUAUUUUAAAUUAUCUGCAGUGCUCCUUGGUCUUAUAAAACUAUGGGUUAUUUCAAACUUCGGUAAAUGUCUGAUACACAUGAACUUCUUGCAUUGUUGAGGAAAUCAGAGAAAAAUGAUGCUGUUUUUCCCUUGUAAGUUGACAAUGGAUGGAGAUGAAACCACCUUUGCAAAAUUAUGGCAAUAAGAGAAAUUGGACAUGGCAGACUCCAUCUUGCUUUUAGCCUCACAGGUUGGCUGUCUUGGCUCAUUCCUGGGCAUAAGCCAAGCUAACUUUGGCAGAAAUUGAGUUUAUAGUGUAAACGAUAAUAGCCUUUCCCCAAAACUAAACUACCCUUGUAAAAUUAAUGAAAGGCCACCAAGUUAGGAGGAUGAGAAGGGCCUGAAUGCCUGAAUUCAGCCAUUAUUCUGGAAGUCACAAGAUGUGCAACCUCCCCAGUUACUCCUGUAAAUAACUUCAGUAUUGUAGAACCUAAGAUUGGCCUUUUGACAGCCUUUUGCAUUUCUGACAACUAGAUGGCCCCACGCAGACCCGUGACUCAACCAGUCCUAUAGCCUUCAUCCAAAAAUGGACUCAGUGCAUGAGGACUGUUUUCCACACCCUUAUGAUUGCAUCCCAAACCAAUCAGCAGCACCCAUACCCUAUCCCCUGCACACCAAACUAUCUUUGAGAAACUCCUAACCUCUGAUUCUUUGGUGAGAUUGAUUUAAGUAAUAACUCUGUCUCCCACAUGGCGUGGCUGGCGUCGUGUCAAUUAAACUCUUUCUUUACUGCAAUGCCAUGGUCUCUAUGAAUUGAUUUUGUUUUGCAG
rnacentral:lncRNA from 1 species